rnacentral:rRNA from 1 species
UCUGCCACCGAAUACAUUAGCAUGGGAUAAUGGAAUAGGACCCUGUCACCUAUUUUCAGUUGGUUUUGGCAGCGCGAGGACUAGGGUAAUGAUUAAUAGGGAUAGUUGGGGGCAUUAAUAUUUAAUUGUCAGAGGUGAAAUUCUUGGAUUUAUGAAAGAUUAACUUCUGCGAAAGCAUCUGCCAAGGAUGUUUUCAUUAAUCAAGAACGAAAGUUAGGGGAUCGAAGACGAUCAGAUACCGUCGUAGUCUUAACCAUAAACGAUGCCGACCAGCGAUUAGGAGACGUUGAAUACAAAACACCACCAUCGGCGCGGUCGUCCUUGGCGUCUGUCCCUUUCAACGGGGGCAGGCGCGAGGGCGGUUUAGCCCGGUGGCACCGGUGAAUGACUCCCCUAGCAGCUUGUGAGAAUUUUUU